GCAUGCCCAGCCUCAGGCUGGGUUUCUAAGCAAGUCUUUGACUAUGGCCUGGGGGGCACACACUCAGGACAAGACGACUUGAGGCUUUCCAGAGAGCAGCUGCUGUGAGUGCAGUGUGGGACCAGAUCCUUGAAGACCCCCUGGGGGAAAAGAGGCGGGAUGGCAGAGGAAAGGGUGGGAGCGGAUCACACAGGUCCCUGAGGGCUGAGAGGAGGGUUUGGCUUUUGCUCCAAGCAAAGUGAAGACACCAAAUGGUUUGGGCAGAGGAGUGCCCUGCCCUGCCAUUGAUAAAGGGCCCCGCUGGCUGCUGAGUGAAGAGCCUGUUAGAUCUGUGGUGGGGGCUCGGGUCAGAGCCGAGGGUGGAGGUGGCUGUCAGUGUCAGAGCGGAAGCCACUCCAAAGGUGGAGCCCAUCAACUGGACCUGGGGGUGGGAGGAAGACAGGAGCCAGGAGGGCUCCAAAGUUCUGGCCUGUUGAUUUCCGAGACACUUGGCUUUUCCUUUUUUCUCCUUUUGAAAACCAGUUAAUAGACGCUUGGCUUUUUCUUACAGCAGGUGUGCAUUACCAUUGCAAUGAGAAAACCCCAAAAAGACAUACCUUUUACUGGAGGGGGAGAAGGCAUUCUCCAUGUUGAAAGCAUUCUCCACUCCUUUCCCGAGGGGAGCCAUGAAGGAGACACGCGUCUUUCCCAGGUGCCCCCCAUUGCCCAGUGGUCUGCCCCGUCUGCUGCACAAGGAAACAGAAACCGAGGGCUGGAGAGAAAGGGGGCUCCUGAAGAUGACUGCGUUGCAUUGAGGCAAAAGGAAAGCCGUUGUACCUUCAGACCAUCUCUCGCCAUCCACCCUGCGUGACCAUUGCCUACGCCAGUCUUCCCUCCUCCCAGGACCCCUGCCCCCCACCCCCAGCAUCCUCUCCAGUGCCCCCUCAAAGGUAGCUACUUUCCUGCUCAUUACUUUUUACCAAACCUGGAGCCGAAGCCCUGAGUGAGCAGCUGGAGGCGGGGAUGGGCCCUUUGUCCAAGCCUCAGCCCGAGGGUGGGGGUGGGGAAUGAAGCUGGGGGGCUCCGUCCUCCCCGCUCUCUCUGCCAUCUCCCUCGCUGACUUUUGUCCUUGGAUCGCCUGCGUGAUCAGAAGAGGUUUCAUUCUCUGGCAACUGUGCAGCCAUUAGCGAGAGGCAGACGCAUUACCCUCUCACCGCACAAUCGUUGGCUACUUCAGUUAUUCUAUUUCACCUGAAGACUUUAUUUGCAGCCGAGCCUCCCCUCCGGAGCAGGGCAGGCCCCAUCUGUCGGACAGUUUGCUCCAGCGUCUCCGGCCAUUAUGCCUCCACUUGGAGGACGGGAUGGAUGGCAUGCGUGCAAGGGAGCAGGGGAGAGAGCGAGCUGGGGAGAGAGCGUGCGUGUCUGCCUGCCUGCACUCCCUCCCACUUGUCUCUUUAUCAUUCUCCCAGGGCCGAACAGAACUUGCUUUGAAGAGUGAUGUCAGACGUGUACAAAACAGAGCGAUAAAACCUAAUGCACUCGCGCCCCUUUGUCUGCCU
rnacentral:lncRNA from 10 species